rnacentral:rRNA from 1 species
UACAGAGGUCCCGAGCGUUGUUCGGAUUCAUUGGGCGUAAAGGGUGCGUAGGUGGCGCUGUAAGUGGGGUGUGAAAUCCCGGGGCUUAACUCCGGAACUGCAUUCCAUACUGCGGUGCUUGAGGACUGGAGAGGAGACUGGGAAUUUACGGUGUAGCAGUGAAAUGCGUAGAGAUCGUAAGGAAGACCAGUGGCGAAGGCGGGUCUCUGGACAGUUCCUGACACUGAGGCACGAAGGCCAGGGGAGCAAACGGG